AUGAAGACCCAGACAGUAUGGUUCUGAGGCGACCUGCUGUUGGCAGAAUCAUACUGUGCAACGGGAUGCUUAUGAGCAAUGAGCUGGUCUACUCCUUUUCACAAGUUCUGAUGCUUAGUUAAUGCGUGUUGAGUAAACAAGUGGGUGACUAGUAUGAAUGACAAGGAUCGACUUUUGGAUUGGAUGCGCAAAUUUUGGCUUGCUUAAAUCUUUCCUACUUUAAUUGUACCCAAUUGUUUUAAAGCCAAAAGAAGUAAAGAUUUCUUGUGUUUGGUAAGAAUAACUGCAAUGUGUAACUUCCAGUUUAUUUUUUUCCAUUUAUAUUUCAUUCUACGUGACACUCAAAAUAGCUUACCUGAACUUAAAUGGAUUAUUUGCCCAAUGUUUGGCAGAGGUGAGAGACUAAAAUGCAAAUUAAAUAGCACUCAGUUCUAUGUACCAAUCAGUAUGCCAUUCAAGCAUUGUCUUACACUUUAUGUAUUCCCCAUGCCUGUGUAAGUUAGCCACUUAAACAUUUGUAAGAUUGCUUGAUGACUCAUAAACCAUCCAGGAUUUCACAGUGAAUAGCUGAGAUUAAAAUGAUUUCUUUGCACAUGAGCAAACUUGUUGGUACUAGAUGCAGCCAAUGUUCUAGAAAAUAAAACUUCAGCUACGACAAGCUGAAAAACUGUUUCCUAAUAUUUUGUGUAUGUGUCAUAGAGUGUGCCUCCAAUGAGAGCUAUUUUUAAAUUUCUGAGUUCAAAUGAAGUAUUAGAAUGUUUGUUUCCAUGUAAAUAAGGAACAUCUCCUCCAGCUAGCAUGCGCAAUAAAACCCUUCUUUAGUUUGUCUUGAUAGCCGUCUCCCACAGCCUUGUUCUUACACAUCAUUGUGCCAUGUUUUCCCUGCCUUGAUAUAUCUUUCCUCCUCUGAAUCUGUUUCUGAAACUCUUCUACAUUCUUAGUUUUCUUUAUGUGUCCUCUAUUUUCCCGCUCUCAAAAUCUCUGCCCUCUCAGUUUGCUUGUCACAGUGGUUCUAGCAACUUGACAAUAGGUUGAAUAUUUGAAUGAUUUCUUCUGAUGACAUAAGGCUGCAGCAACACUAGUGAGUACAACAGCCUAGCUCAACCACACAUGCCCCCAGCACAGCUUUUGAGUGCACCAGUGGGCCACUAGCAAUGCUAUUCAUCCCAGCCCAGGUCCCCCAGGCGGGCCAGGCGUGUUGGCCUGAUCCAAACAUGCCCUCUGGUUUACUCACUCUAGAUAAUUCCAUCCAAAGUCUGCCCCCCCAACCUUCAAAUGCAGUGGCAUGGUCCGUGGAAUACUCUAGAAAUGAUCCCUCCUCUGUCACACGUAUGCUUAGCUGCUCCUACUGCAAUAGGUCCUCAGUCUCCGUUCCCUGGGCAAGUUGCAGCACCUCCAGAUGGGGUACUAUCUUCCCCACAUACCUUCAAAGAAAAAAAUAGAAUAGGCAACGAUGCUGUUAAUACAGAUUUGGUAUUAACCAGUCCCACAGUGCCUGUUGUCGUUUAUCCCAGAGGUGUAACACUUGUCUAGACACAAAUUAACCUAGGCGGUUGUGUGCAGCUGGGAAAUAAUGAGUUUCUUAGAGCAUGACUUGUGGCCCUCUGCAAUUGUGUUAUUAGUAAUAGGAGAUGAUUUCCUGCCUAUUGUAUUUUGGGAACAGGAUCACCUGUAUUCUAGCUCCACCACGAGAAAAACAUAUUUGUGUGGGGGCACAAAAGUGUCCCUGAUCACAGGAAAACCCCAAAACACAGAAGGCAUAUCAACAUUAGAAUGUUUUACUUUUUAAACAUUCAGGUAAAUUGCAACUGAUCUAAAUGAUCAAACUGUGGAAUUGAGUGAAAGCUGUCUUGGUAAGACAUGUUCCCUGUAUUUCUCACCAUUUAAGCAUGUUGUAAAAAUAAGUUUAGGGUACCAAAGAAAGUUUAGAAUGAAGCUAAGUUAAAUUUAAACUAUUAUGAUACCAAACAAGCUAAAAGGAAAUCUUUCAGUGCAAAACUUAUGAGCUGUCUCUUUCUUAUCAAGUUGUGUUAAAUUCAGUGUACAAAAUCUGUCAGAGUGAACCAUGAGCAUAAAUGUAACAAUUACAUACAAAGGUACAUCCUCAGAAUACAACCAAACUUUUAUUGAAAUGAAUAUGCUCAUAUCAUAAAAAAUCAAAAUAACAAACAUGAACAAGGUUUGCAUUAUAAGCCAACAAAUUAAAAUUAGCAAAGUGCCUCCUAGGAGCCAAUCAGAAACUGAAACUCCAUGUGAAAAAUGGUUUUGGAGAAUAUAUUUCUAUAUACUACACCUUAAAAACAUGGGCUUUAAAUGCAGUUUAUGAAUUCAUAAGUGAAAAAUUGGGAGUCAGAUUAACAGUAAUUUAGUGUAAAGACAGACUUAAAUUGAAGUUUAGGAAAAAAACUGACCCACAUAAACAUCAGCAUCUAAAACAUAAAAGUGGAUUCUGUUAAAAUCAAGCUGAAAUAACUUUUAUGUUGACAAGAAUAACUAUUUAUAAAGAACGUAAGUGAUAAAUGUGAAGACACUUCAAACACUCAUGGGAAAAUGCAACUAACAUUUUAUUUUGAUGCCUCAAAUCUUGAAAUUCAUGUGCGUUUUUUAUAACUUUGCGUUCCCCAUGAACUCUUUGAAGACCCAUUCAUAUGUAAGAACUCAGCAUAAAUAUAAUGCAUUCUGUAGUAAUUAAAGUGAAAGCAUUUGCACCGGGUGCUUACUUCACUGCAUGUUUAAAUCUCAGGGGUUUGGGGAUUUAUGGACUAUCAUUUAUACAGUGUUGGCCUAAUGACUAU